CUCAGUAAUUGUAUGAAGAACACUUUUGAACCAACAGGUUACAAAUAUUAAAUAAUUUGAAGAAUUAUAUUACUACAUAUUAUUUUAGAAUAAUAGAAAUAAGAUUAUAAUAUAAUGUUAACAUUUCCAGGAUUGUUUGUUUAUAAGCUACAUGUCUGUUAAACAUUAAACAAUAACUAGUACUCAUAAUAUUAAACAAAAUAUAAUUUAAACACAAUCUUUGAUUUUUUAAUUAUUUAAUUUCAUUUAGGCCAUGAAUCUUUCUAGUAAAACAAUCUUGUUUGAGAAUUCUUCACUUCUUGUGAAGAUGAAUUAAUAGCCAUCUAAAAAUUACAUGAAGAAGAAAAUCUCCAAAAUAAUGUAACUACACCUACAAUAAAUCAUCUUCAAUUCAGACAAAAUGAUGUUUAUAAAAGUAUAAAGAAAAUAUUAGAGAAAAAGAUGUACCCCCAAAACAUAUUGAUUCUUAUGAAACACGCAAUUAAAAAGUGGUGCAGUGGUUCCAGUGUUUGGAUCCUGGGUGCAGACCUACAUAUUGCUCAUCAAGCCAUGCUGUGGUGGCAUCCCACACACAAAAUAGAGGAAGAUGGGCACAGAUGUUAGCUCAGGGACAAUCUUUCUUGGCAAAAAGUUUUUUUAAAAAAAGAACUUUAAAGGAAGCUUUAAGACAGAAAAUUCUUAGACGUUUGCAACUAUAAAUAUUGGAAACCCAAACAAAAUCUUGUUGAAAUAAUUGCUACUGACUGCCAACUCUUUCCAGUAGUCCAAAGUGAAGAAUUUUUGAGAGUUGCCAGGCUGAUUUUGUCCAUUUAUUCUGCCAGUGUAGCUCUCUGACAGCCAGUGGGCUGCAUUUGACAUCAUGGUUAUUCACAAGAUAAUGGAAAGCAUAGUAUUUCAAGCUUCAGCCAGCUUCUACCUGUUUGGCGCUCUUCCUAAAAUUUGUAACUCAAAUUAUAGGGAUUUCAACACUCCCCUGAGGAGAUGAUUUCAGGUGCCAGUACAUACAUUUUUUUCUAAUAUGCAAGAAUAAAUCCUCUUUUAAAAACUUUUAUCCGAGCAAUCAUAAGUACUAUUCAGGAUUUAAUGAGCCUGGUUUUCUCCCCUGUGGGG
rnacentral:lncRNA from 1 species